rnacentral:tRNA from 1 species
CCUAGGAUAGCUUAAAAAAAGCAUCAGACUCUUAAUCUGACUAUGAAAAUAUUAAUUCUCCAAGGA